rnacentral:rRNA from 1 species
GUGGGGAAUCUUGCGCAAUGGGCGAAAGCCUGACGCAGCCAUGCCGCGUGAAUGAUGAAGGUCUUAGGAUUGUAAAAUUCUUUCACCGGGGACGAUAAUGACGGUACCCGGAGAAGAAGCCCCGGCUAACUUCGUGCCAGCAGCCGCGGUAAUACGAAGGGGGCUAGCGUUGCUCGGAAUUACUGGGCGUAAAGGGCGCGUAGGCGGACAGUUUAGUCAGAGGUGAAAGCCCAGGGCUCAACCUUGGAAUUGCCUUUGAUACUGGCUGUCUUGAGUACGGGAGAGGUGAGUGGAAUUCCGAGUGUAGAGGUGAAAUUCGUAGAUAUUCGGAGGAACACCAGUGGCGAAGGCGGCUCACUGGCUCGAUACUGACGCUGAGGUGCGAAAGCGUGGGGAGCAAACAGGAUUAGAAACCCCAGUAGUCC